rnacentral:ncRNA from 2 species
AAUUAUACCUAACAAGUUCUUCGUAUAUCCUCGAUAAUAAGGUUCGAGAGUCUCUACCGGGUCGCCGUAAAUGACCUGACUAUGAAGGCAGAAUUCUUGUAU